rnacentral:siRNA from 1 species
UAAUAAAAUUGACAUUUACUAGAG